rnacentral:lncRNA from 7 species
CCCUCUUCACGGCUUCCUCCUCCCUCUAGAUCUCCCCCACGCAGCAAGGAUCGAGAAGAGGAGGAGCACGUUGAAUUGAAGGGGAAGAGAGGAUCAAGGAGAUGUUCUUCCCCAUCUAUUCUUACAGAAUUUCUUGGGGAAACUCUAGGUAUGGAUGAGAUCCUUGUUCCUCCCUGUAAUUAUGUGCUUUUGGAGGUUGUGGAUCAUGGGAAUUAAAGGAUUAGAGGUUGGAUUAGAUGUGGGGUUGGGUUUUGAUCUCGAAUUUAGUUUUCUGCAGAAUGGCAGAUUCGACAGUUUCUGUUCAUGCCAGUUUUCUGUGGUCUUAGUGGCCUCAAAAAAAUAAAAAGUAUAUAUAUGAGACGUAGAUAAUUUGUAGAUCGUUCCGUGUCCGCGAAGAACACCUCAAUCGGACAUCAUAUCAGAGAGUUAUUGCAGUUUGAUUAUAGCAGUUUUUCAGUCUCUUAUUUCUGUGCAGAAUCUGUUCUCUUAAGAUUUAGUCAAUUUUAUCAACAGAAUUAAACCUUGGGUUUGUAAGAGAAGACGUAGAUAAUUUCAUAAGCUUUCCAGAUUGUUAAAUAGUGCAUUCAUAUGAAUUAUGAAACUCCAGUUAUGUUUGAUUUACUGUGGUUGUUUCUGUUUGCCUGACAAAAAUGAGCGGGCCUGUUCACUGGUAGGUUUCAUCAGGUAAAUGGCCAAAUUGGCUCUCCCAGCUAUGGAGACUUUUGUAGAGGGAUAAAAGUUCUUACUUCCAGCAGAAUUUCAUGAUUUUUGGUUGAGUAGUUUGUGAGAUAUCAAAUUUUAAAAGUUAACUAUGCUGCUGUCUAAAACAGAUUCAGUCAGUUAUCUUGUCAGAUGUUUUAGAACUUAUAGAUAGCAGAAUUUAAUUAUCCAUCGAAUGCCGAAGUUGUAGAGUAUUUUGUGUAGAUACUACUAGAGUAUUUGUUUGAUAUCACCACUAUUAUAAUUUUAAAGAUACAAAAUUAACAAACAGCGAUGCUGCUGUAUGACAUGUGGUUCAGAGUGGGAGGUUUUCCACCAGGUCUUGGUUUCAGGUGUAGGAGCGAUUUGUUGAUUGUUGGCAAAUGUUUGUGAAAUAUUUGUACUAAGUUUUAUGUCCUCUAGCAGGUGGCUACACUCCAGAUCAUGCCUAGUACAUUUUUCUUCUUCGAUGAAGGCAAGUGAAUGUAGGGGUGGUUGUUUUCGUUCUGACCGGUUAUUUCUAUCGCCUACACUCUAGUAUUCAGAAUUAUUGGAUUCUUUCAUAAUUGGACUCCAUGGUGAUGCUUUACUUGCUGGCAUUAUCCUAAUGCUCAAUCAUAUAUUGAUGAUGAUUAUGAUUCGAGUAUGACUCAUGAGAUUAAUUCACACCCGUGAAGGUAAAUGAAGUAUUAUUUGAGGUUUGUAUUGUAUCUAAAGGUAAAUGAAGUAUUAUUGGAGGUUUGUAUUGCAUGUGAAGGAAGUGAAGUAUAUUGAUAAAUGCAGCAUGAUUCACUUGCAUCUGAAGUUGGGUCGUGACCUAUGGUCCGACCGUACCGGUACAACUUAGCAUCGUACGUUGCCCGAGGAGGGGUACGAUGCGGCUUCAUACCCUUAGAGGUAUGAAGGCAGAGGACAUAUGCAUUGCAUUCAUAUGCAUUCAUUGAAGUGAUAUUUGCAGAUGAUGUGGUUUUAUACCCUCAGAGGUAUAAAGACAGAGUACCUACACACUGCGUUCCUAUGCAUACAUUGAAGUGAUAUUUGCAGGUAUCGUUGACGCAGGGAAGUGUUAUACAAACUAUUGUGGUUGUUCGAGAAAAUGAGAUGAUAUUGGUUAUACUGAGACUACUGAGUUCUAUAUCUACAAGUAUUUCUGAUCUUAAUUGUGAUUCUUUUAAAAUGUUGAGUAAUUCAAUUUGUGGUUUAAAUAUCUUGUCAAAACAAUUCGUUUGCUGAGAUGUUUCAUCUCACUCUUGCAUUACUCAAUGCAGGUGCUUCUUGCUCAUCAAGGGAAGUGGGAAGUAGUAGCACAUCCACCUUCACUCUCAUAAUAAUGCUGCUUAGGCGCAGUCAUGAUUUAAUUAGAAACUUCUUGUUAAAGGAUGUUGUUUCUAACUAGUUGUGUGCACUGGUUGAUUUAGUUCAUGUCGUUAUGGUUGUCUUCCCAUUGCUAGCAGAUUAUUAAUGUCUAUUAUGUUUUCUUAUCAUGAUAUCUAUUUAUACUUUGUGGCUUCC